UCGACUGUAUCAACACUUUGUUGCUAUCCUAAAAGCUAUCGUAUAUCGAGUUUCGUCAGCUCGAAAAGUACUUAUUUGGCAUGAUUUCAUACUAGCAAAGGUUUGGUUGAAAAAUAAGAAUAUUCAAUUCUGACGGAAAAAUCGUGUGUUAUAGUAAGCUAGGGAUUUUAACUGAAAUCAAGUGAAACUCGUAUACAGUAAUCUGAUUGAGAUUUUCGAUUUAUGUCAAUUGAGAAGUACUUAUUUGUCAUGAUUUCAUACUAGAAUUUUUUUUGUUAAAAAAUAAGAAUAUUCAAUUUUGACUGAAAAAUCGUGUGCCAAUGGGCAGCUAUGACCUACCAAGGGACUGCCUUGACCCUCCUAAACCCGCGUACGGACAACCUAGACCCACCAAAGAGCUGCCGAGACACAUCUAGGACCGUCACGGGACUGGCGAGACCCGCCUAGGGCAGCCAAGGAGCCGCCGAUGAGCUGCCUUGACCCGCCUCGGGCCGUCAAGGGGCUGCCGAGACACGUCUAGGGCCGUCAAGGGGCUACCGAAACCCAUUUAGGGCCGCCAAGGGGGAGCCUUGACCUGCCUAGGGCGGCUAAGGGGCCGCUGAUGAGCCGCCUAGACAUGCUUAAGGCCACGUAGACCCGCCUACGAGACACCUGGACCCGCGUAGGGACUGCCUAGAUUCGCUUAGGGGUAGCCUUGACCCGCCAAAGGUUUGCUUAGACCCGCCAAAGGUCUGCCUAGAUCCGCCGAGACCGCUCAGAGCCGCCAAGAGGCUGCCUUAACCCACUUAGAGGCCGCCAAUGGGCCACCUAGACCUGUUUAGGGGCCACCUACACCCACUUAGGGCCACCUAUACCCGCCAAGGGGCUGCUGAUCCGCUUAGAGACUGCUUAGGGGCUGCCUAGACCCGCUUAGGGGGCCACCGAGACCCGCUUAGGGCCACCUUGACCCGCACAAGGGCAGCCUAGAUCUGUACAGAGGCCACCUUAACCCGCUUAGACUCGCCUCAAGGCCGCUUAGGACUGCCUAGUGGCCACCUAGAUCGCCUAGGGGCCGCCUAGACCCACGUAGGGGCCCACCUAGACUCACGUAGGAACCGCCCAGACCCGCUUAGGGGCCGCCUAGACCCGCCAAGGGGACGCCAAGACUCGCCAAGGCUGAGACUCGCCUAGGGCAGCCAAGGGGCCGCCUUGACUCACACAAGGGCAGCCUAGAUCUGCAUAAAGGCCGCCUUAACCCGCUUGGACCCGCCUCCAGGCCUAGACCUGUGUAGGGACCACCUACACCCUCUUAGGGGCAACCUUACACCCUCUUAAGGGCAACCUAGACCCGCUAAGGGGUUGUUGAGACUAGCCUAGGCAGUCGAAGGUGUUGCCUUGACAUGCCUAGGGUCGCUUUGACCUCCCUAAAGCCCGCCGAGACCUGACUAGGGCUACCUUGACCCACCUAAGGGCUGCCGAGACCGGCCUAGUGCCGCCGAUAGGCUAAAUAUUAUCCCACUUAGGGCAGCCUAGACCUGCCAAGGGUCUGCUGAUGGGCCACCUAGACCCACCACGAGGCUGUCGAGACCCGCUAAGGGGAUUUUAGCUGAAAUGAAGCAAAACUCUAUACACUAAUUCGAUUGAGAUUUUUGAGUUUCGUCAGUUCGAGAAGUACAUAUUUAUCAAACGAAACUCGUAUACACUAAUCUGAUUGAGGUUUUCGAGUUUUGUCAGUUCAAGAAGUACAUAUUUAUCAUUAUUUACUAAUAGACAUGCCUAUAGGCCGUAUUUACCUGCUAAGAGGUAGUUUAGACUCGCCUAGAGGCUGCAUAGACCCGCAUAAAGGCCACCUAGACUCGCUUAGACCCGCUUUGACCCGCAUAGACUUUCUUGGACCCGCCUAGACCCGCCUAGAGGUCGCCUUAACCUGCUUGGACCUGAUUCAAGGCCGCCUAGACCCGCCUAGUGGUCGCCUAUACCAUUUUAGGGCCGCCUAGACGUGCGUAGGGACAGCCCUGACCAGCUUAGGGGCCACCAAGACUCGCCAUGAGGCCUCCGAGACCCGCCUAGGGUUUACUAUGGGUCGCCUUGACCCGCACAAGGGCAUCCUAGAUCCGCAUAGAGUCUUGCCUCAAGGCCGCUUAGGACCGCCUAGUGGCCACCUAUAGAUCGCCUAGGGGCCGUCUAGACCCGCGUAGGGACCACCUAGACCCGCCUAAACCCGCGUAAGGACCGCCUAAGGAUUAAAAUAUCUGUAUAAGUGUAUCUAUCGGUAUUUAAAAAAAAGAUAAUAUCGGAUAUAUCGGGAUAUCCGGGAAAAAAUAUUAGGAUUUUGGGAAGUAAAUUUUUUUUUUCUGACAUAUUUAAUUUAUUAGAUUUACAUAUAAAUAUUACAAAUAUCAACUUCAUCUACAUCCAGAAUGAGAAUCUAGGUUGUUAAUAAGACGCACGUUGGUUCACAAAAGUAAAAUAAUCAGACCAAGGCAUAUGAUUUAUAUAAUACAAAUUGUAGUGUUGAAUAUGAUAAUCAUAUAUAUCUUUGGAGCAACCGACUGUUUCUCUUAUAAGUGGAUAGUAAGGAUGAAUCUAACUGGAUGACUGAUCACUGACUUCCGCGCAUUGAUUAUAACUAUAAAUAUUAUAGCCAUGCAUAUUGAUUAUUGCCUUCUUAGGAUUCAUUUGAGGUUCAAGUCUCACUAUCUAAACUGAUAGACUCAAAACUUAACGCAACUGAAACAACAUCUUGAUCAUCAUUUUCACCUCUAGUCCUCCUCCCAUACAUGAUAUCUUCUUGCACUCCAUACCUAGUACUUCUAAAGCCAUGAUCAUGAUCAUGGGAGGCAUGAUCGUAUUUUUCUUUGGAUGAAAAAUUGUUCAAUCCACCAACUGUAGAAGAUUGUCCAUAUUCAAACCUGAUAUUUCCACCACCUUUUCAGCAUUAACUGUACUCAUUCUCUUUCUCAAGUGCAAAUAUUCCUCCACUUAUCUCCAAGUUUGAUAAUUGUGUAAUAGAUUGAUCUGCAUCCAGAUAUCCCUCGAAGGGAAUCAUGCUCUCCUCGAGACCCCC
rnacentral:lncRNA from 1 species